rnacentral:rRNA from 1 species
GACGAACCGAGCGAACGUUGUUCGGAAUCACUGGGCUUAAAGGGCGCGUAGGCGGGUGCUCAAGUCCGUGGUGAAAUCCUCCGGCUCAACCGGAGAACUGCCUCGGAUACUGGGCGUCUCGAGUGUGGUAGGGGUAUGCGGAACUAUCGGUGGAGCGGUGAAAUGCGUUGAUAUCGAUAGGAACUCCGGUGGCGAAGGCGGCAUACUGGACCACCACUGACGCUGAGGAGCGAAAGCCAGGGGAGCAAACGGG